rnacentral:rRNA from 1 species
UAAUCAGUAUAGUUUAUUUAUUGGUCCUUAUUUAUCGGGGAUAACCGUAGUAACAUACAGCUAAUACAUGCAAAUACUCUUGACCGCAGAAGAGAACACUUAUUAGAUACAACCAAUCCGUGUAAAGCGGAAUAAGGGGAUUCAUAGCAAGGUGGAAAUCGUAUGGGGGCAACCUGACGAUGAUCAUUCAAAUUUCUGCCCUAUCAACUUUGGAUGGAGAUAGAGGCUACCAUGGUGAUAACAGGUAACGUACAUGAAGGCCCCAUUCCAGAGAGGACCUGAGAA